rnacentral:misc_RNA from 1 species
UAAAAAAAAAAAAAAAGAAUUUUUGUCAAUAGAGGUUCAACAAAGUAACAAAAGUAUGAUUUCUACUUCAAUGUUAACAUUUUUUUUUUUUUUUUGGAAUUUUCAUUUUGGUCCUUGCAAUUAGCUCUGUUUUACCUUAAUAUUCUUUUGCUUCUUUGAACUGUGAAUCCUUUAGUCCCUAGUUUUGUCCUGGCCUUUGUACAAUACCUGAAAGUAGUGGUUAUUGUAAUUUUAUGUGCUAUUAAUAAGGCAAGUAAAGCUGGGCUGAGAUCUCUUUGUUG